rnacentral:rRNA from 1 species
UACGUAGGGCGCAAGCGUUGUCCGGAAUUAUUGGGCGUAAAGAGCUCGUAGGCGGCUUGUCACGUCGGGUGUGAAAGCCCGGGGCUUAACCCCGGGUCUGCAUUCGAUACGGGCAGGCUAGAGUGUGGUAGGGGAGAUCGGAAUUCCUGGUGUAGCGGUGAAAUGCGCAGAUAUCAGGAGGAACACCGGUGGCGAAGGCGGAUCUCUGGCCAUUACUGACGCUGAGGAGCGAAAGCGUGGGGAGCAAACAGG